UGGGGCGUGGUGUAAUGGUAGCACAGCGGACUUUGGAUCCGUUGAUCCAGGUUCGAAUCCUGGCGCCCCAG
rnacentral:tRNA from 1 species